rnacentral:piRNA from 1 species
UGAUCCUUUAUUUGACCUUAA